UGUUAUAUUUUUAUCUGUAGAGGAAGGCGCCUCUGUUUAUCACUGAGCAUGCACCUCCUAACUCAAUGAAAGCAUGACAUUUAGGUUGAAUAGAAACUGCUGCCUAUAUAUCCGACAUUACAGUGGUUUUACGAAUGUAGUAUCUCACGGGCUUCGUCUGUUUUUAUCAGCCUAAUGGGCACUAUAUUUGGCACAUUUUGUGCGGCACAAGUCUGUCCUCAGAAUAUCGAUGAUCAGAUUUGGACCUUUCCCACCUGGCACAGACGUCAAUUCAACAUCUAUUCCACGUUGGGUUCAACUUAAUUUAAUUGAAAAGACGUGAAAACAACGUUGAUUCAACCAGUGUGUGCCCAGUGGGUUUAGUCAAAGCGUAGAGAUCGUGUGUGUCUGUGGGGGAUGACGAAUCCAACCCAUCGACAGGCCACUGGGGGUCAGGACCCAUGGAAUGCGAUGUGCAUAUGUAGAUUGCAGUGUGAGCGAACGAUUCAAUUAUGGAUUAUGCGCAAAAAUCUAUUCGUUUUUAUAUUAUUUAAUUAAUUAUUUAAUUUGUUGCCAUACAUAAAAUACUAAUUUCUAAGCUACAUUUAUUUGCAUUGCCGUUGUCCAGGACAGACAAUUUUGGAUGUUGUUUGAUACUGCUGGUCAGAUGUUGGGAUUGGGGUGUUUGUUGUGGUUUUACCAAAAGGAGAUUGAUUGAAUAAUGCAGAUAUCAAAAGUGAAAAUCUAAUCUUUUUUCUGUCGGUCUGCUCAUUAGAUCUACCCCAGAAAUGCAGAGAUAUCAUCUUUGUCUGGGAUUUUUAUGUGGUCUAAAUURUGGUUUUGCAGUCAAUUAUAUCAUUAUUGUUUUUUGGGUACAUUACCUCUUUCUUUAUUUAGCAGUUAGACCUAAGAACAUUUAUAACAUGUCAGUCAAAUGUCACCAGUGUUAUAACCUUGCGUAAUAAACUAUGAUACAUUUUCAUUACUAUUAUCAUUAGGCUAGUAUUAUUAGCCUGUGUUUAAUCAGUGAAUUUAAUUAUGAAAUCCUCCACCAAUAAAGCAAUAUAGGACCGUUCUGAAUUACAAGAGAUUUAGCCUAUUCUUAGAGAGAACAUGUUUCUAAAAAUGUUUCUCUGUCCAUAUUUUCCACCCUUAUUGAUAUAGACUAUUGUUGAUCUUUUCUUGUAGCAAACAAUGUAUGUAGCUAAUCCCAAUUCAUGGUAACAAGUAAACCAACACCCAUGUGAGGUGUCCUUGAACAGUUAUGGUAAUAAUCCAAUUUGCGAUUGUAAUUUAUUUAAAAACGGAAAUAUCCACUUACUUUAGCAUGGUUACUGAAUAGCUGCAAUAAAAACGUACGCGAACGUUUUAGAAACACGGAUGUAAUGACAUGAGUCCAACGUUUUCUACCACAUAAUCACUCUUGCGCUCCAUCUCCGCCUAUUUCUUUAGCAAAAAAAUUUUUUUUUGCGGUUCGUAUCUUGGAAAAACAGCAUUCUCAUUUCCAAUAAGGGCUAAAUAGUUGUUUCCUGUCAUUGAAGCCAUUUUACCUUCCAUUUUCUCUAUGUAACGUUGUUAUUCCAUCGCAUUAAUCCGCAAAUCUAGCCUCUACGUUUAAUAGAACAUGUAAUUUCCCCCUUUUUAACGUAUUCCCUUUGAUUUAGUCACUCUUGACACCACUUUUGCUCUGGGGCCAACGGGGUUCGCCGUGUGGGCGCCUUGAAACAGCCCCUCCUUAUCUCCUUUCAUCAUUCAACCCGGGGCCGCCUUGAAACCGCAGGGCCAGUAAUUGCUUUUUUCAGUCAGCCCAGUGYGGACUGGCCAGCAGCCAAUCAGAGCCUUGUUUACACUUUGUGAUUGACAGCUCUCUGGCAACAUGCCAACCAAUCAGACACUUUACACAGACCGAAGGCUGGAGUUUUAACCCUUUACUUCCAGUUAAAACAAACUAGGAAUAUUAGCUUAUAGCUCAUGAUUUUUAGCAUGGAAAUACGCAAGGCCAUAUCCUUCCUUCUUUAAUUUACUAAAUUAGUGAACUGUGAGCAAAACUAACCCCGAGGACAGUAUAUUUCAUUGUGAUUCGAUUUCCCUAAGUGUGUGUGCAUGUGUGUCAUGAUUGUAAACAUAAACAGACACCAACGUUUUUACUUCCCCAGUAAUUUAGUCUAUUAGAAUCAAAUUUGACUUCCUCCUGCAUUUCUGUUGAUCUUUAAUUGUCCUUUAAGCUACUAUUUGGCCUAUAUUUAGCUUAUUUUACAAAUACAUAUUUGUAGGCAAUUCAUAAUAAAUGGGAUACUCAGGUGUAAGCCAUUUUAUUAUACGUGUUUAUUAAGGUUAUUAAGCAAGUUAUAGGCCUAAAUAAAUUCAAUUAGCCUGAUUAAACUGAUCAUUGAAAACAUUUGCCUAUUUCUGGUGACAUAAGUAAGGUCUAAGUGUGAAGCUUUGAAAAAAAAACGUUAUUGUAAAAUAAUACAAAUAAAAACUGGUACGGCAGGUAGCCUAGUGGUUAAAGCAUUGUGCCAGAAACCAAAAAGGUUGCUAGGUUGAAUCGAGCUGACAAGGUAAAAUUCUGUCGUUUUGCCCCUGACCAAKGCAGUUAGCCCACUGUUCCUAGUAAAUAAGAAUUGUUCUUAACUGACGUGCCUAGUUAUAAAUAAAUAAAUAUCCAAAAGAAAAGUAUUGUUUUAACGUAGUUUGGUGAUUGACGUGUAGUUCAUGUGAUCACAAAAUAUUCUGUGGACUUUCUAAUGAUCAAAAGUCGUGUAUUUUCUGCUGCUCGCUCACAGAGCUGGGCUGUGUUUUGAUGAUAUCUCCUGACAUUUGCAUGCUACGCUCUGGAAAGGGUUAUGCUCUGGCAAGGGCUAAAAUCAAACGCCCGCCGUUUUGUUUUAGGAAUCCAGCAGCAUUCCUAUUGGUUCAGGGCAUCUUCCAAUCAGAGUUUCUGUUUAUCGCGGGGCGCGCCUCACGGACACGCUUCUCAUUUUAUUUAUCAAACCAAUGGGAGAGCGCGUUCCCCUACUGUCCCUCCUUCGCUCGUAGUUGAGUGGCACUAGCGGAUACAGUGGGAGAGUUUCUGUGUGGAUGUACAAGCUUAGAUUCACUAGAAGCCUGUACUUCUACGAUGCAUCUCUAUACCUCAACUGCACACUACAAUCUGCAGACUAGGAUGUAACUAUUUCCACAUGUUUUCCUUUUUGUACGCCGCUUUUUUUCCUUUGUAUAUUUUUCUAUUUUUUUUUUUAAUCAUUAAUUGUUAUGCAAGGAAUAACUUACCAAACAUGACCGGGACAUACUUUUUGGUGGGCAAGGCAAAUACUCGAAUGAGUUCAAGACGACCUAUCCGAAGUUCAUAAAAGGGAUUAUUGCAUCURGGCAGCGUUCGAUGCUUCUGGCUUUUCCUCUGGAUUUGGGAUUUAUUGCUUCUCGACAGAAUGGAAAGCCGGGAUUUCGCUCCUCCACACCACCUCUUGACAGAGCGGGGCGCGUUGGUUCACCACGCCUCCUCUCGGAUAGCUUCUGGCGGCCGAGGCACCGUGCAGCACCCCGCUCACUUCCAGCCUGGAAAAUACUAUUCCUCUCACAUCGCCAGGGCCCCACAUUCAGGUGCGUGUUCAUGGGCUCGUUUCUGGCCAGCAGUUUGGGCUCUCCCCCGUCUCACCCUGCCUCGCCCUUCCUCCCCCUCCUACA